CUGCUCAUAGCUCAGUCGGUAGAGCAUAGAAUCCGAGAACUGUAGAGUUGGAAGGGACCCCAAGGAUCAUCUAGUCCAACCCCCCUGCAAUGCAGGACUCUCGGCUAAGGUAUCCAUCUUAAUCUCAGGGUCACGGGUUCGAGCCCAACGUUGGGCAAA